rnacentral:rRNA from 1 species
AUGACCGCGGACGCAUCACCGGACCAGCGACUCCCGCUGAAGGGAGCACAAACAGCGAGGACAACUGGCGAACGGAUGUCCUGUCGAGAGGUGGUGCAGCUGGUUGGUCUUGCGUUACUAUUUUGUUUCCUUAUUUUGCUUGGGGGCUUUCUCUUCGCCGCAACCCUGCCGACCGAGCCCGAGUACUCGGUCGCCAUCACCGGCGCUGAAGGGCUGGACCCAGCGCGGGACCUCAGGAGCUUCGACCGGCGGCCGACGCUCUCGCCCGUGUUCAACCUCACCGUCCACAUCGAGUUGCUCGACGACAGCUACUAUCGAGCGUGCAUCGGCGGCCACCAGGCGAAGCUCGCCGUGUCCUACGGCGGCGCGCUGCUGGCAGAAGUAGAAGGGCCCUUGCUGCCGGAGCUCUGCGUCGGACCUCAUGAAGGGCGCGGAGCCAACAUCACGGCGCGGGGCGUCGAGGUCGCGGUGCCCCGGUUCGAGCGCGACCGCCUCGCGGCAGAGCUGGAGCGGGGCCAGGCGGCAUUUGACGUUGUGGUGAUGGCACCGCGGUAUGACCGUCAGGUGCUUGCCUGCAAGGCCAUGAUCGGAGCGGGUCUACGCGCCUGCGAUUUUCAGUACUACUACUAG